CAUAUUCUCUCUCGGAUUUAAGUUCGUACAGUCGAAGCUCGCCAGUUUCUGCCAAGUAGUGAAUCUUAGCCGAGAUCAUCACAGAUCGACAAUGGAGAUCUCCGGCGGAAAUCAGAUGAAAAGAUCAAGAGGCCGCUAUCGCCGUUCCAGGUUUCGCGCCAAAAAUCUGGUUAAGCAGCUAGAUUUUUCAAUGUCUGGCGGCUUAUCGUUGGCUGCUAGUUUUUCUUCAUCGCUAAAUCACUUUCAGUCGCCUGCAAAGCCCAACUUGGAGCUUCAUUUGUCUCCGCCAACAGAACCAUUUACA